ensembl:misc_RNA Y_RNA Y RNA
GGCUGGUCCGAGUGCAGUGGUGUUUACAACUAAUUGAUCACAACCAGUUACAGAUUUCUUUGUUCCUUCUCCACUCCCACUGCUUCACUUGACUAGCCUUUA